ACCGGCCUACGGGAGGCAGCAGUGAGGAAUAUUGGUCAAUGGUCGGGAGACUGAACCAGCCAAGCCGCGUGAGGGAUGAAGGUACAGAGUAUCGUAAACCUCUUUUGUCAGGGAACAAAGGCGGGGACGUGUCCCCGGAUGAGUGUACCUGAAGAAAAAGCAUCGGCUAACUCCGUGCCAGCAGCCGCGGUAAUACGGAGGAUGCGAGCGUUAUCCGGAUUUAUUGGGUUUAAAGGGUGCGCAGGCGGUCUGUUAAGCGAGCGGGCAA
rnacentral:rRNA from 1 species